rnacentral:lncRNA from 12 species
AAUUAGGUCAGCACAACUCUCUAUUGUAAACAAGGUCUAUAUUGCACAGCUAAGGCUAGAUUACUCAGGUUUGCACAAGGUCUGCCUACAGAAUAUGCACAACCAGUGUAACUAGUUGUGUUUUAAUAAAUACUAAUGACACGUGUCUAAUUGCGACAGUUCAUCUCGACAUUUCCUGCCUGCCUCUCACAGAAUGACUAAGCGCUUCUCUCUCACCGCCGAGCCAAUUGCUGGCUGCACACUGUCAUUAGGGGCAGUCCUGUAUAAUUUUCACAAUUACAAUAUAUGCCAUUGCAUACUUGUGGACUGCCAACAAGACAGCACUGUCCAUCCAGAAGAAAAAUACUGCCUGCGAUCGCUUUCAAGAGCUGAGAGAGGCAAAUGUUUACUCACAGGCACAGCUUUUCUGACCGUGAAUAGUCCCCGUGCUUUCAAAGGGAUUAAGCCUGGUAUUGGCUGUUUCCAAAGGAGGAAAAUUACCACAGCAAGUCUUGGGCUGCCUUUACCCCUACACACUUUGGAACUCUAAGCCUUGGUAAGUUCAGUGGGGUGAGAAUUGGGCUUUUGUGCAAAAGAUACUGCCAAGCAUCUGUGCCACACAGAAACAGGAACUCAGCUGGAAGGUGUGUUUUGGAAAAGAUCUGUGCAUGCAAUAAGACAUGCACGUAGGGCAGCAUGUCAGCAAGACUUUUUACCUGCUAAAGAAGCUUUUCCUUCCCUCUUGUGAAUUUGCAUAUAAGUGGUAUCUGUUUUCUAGGCUGAGGCCUAUCAGGACAAAGCAGUCCCAGGGUGAUUUUUUUUUCUGAUUUUGUAGGGAACCUUCUGUCUGCUUGUUCAUCUCUCUCUCUCAGUUCUCAUUGACUUCUGGAGGUGUGUAUCAGAUUUGAUUGAAAUUAGCCAGAACUGGGUCUGUUCACUGUAAAUUAGAUUAUUCCAGUCUCACCAUAUUCCUACAAUACCUGGAGUUUAUGCCAUUUAAUUUGGCUUGAGACUUCCUCAGUUUCUUGCUUUGUCUUGCACAGAUGUGGUCACUGAAUGCAGGACCAGCAGCAGCAGUGACUGUUCUGCAGAAAAGGUGCUGGUAUGUGCUGGGAAGACAAAUGGGGAGAUUUUUGUCAGAAGAAAUGGAGUUGGUAUGUGCCUACAGCUAAACCUGCUUGGAGCUGAAGUGCUCUUGUGCAACACUUUGACUCUGGCCUUUGUAGUUCAGUUGUCUGGACAAUAGACACACAACAAGAGUGGAAAUCAGAGUGGAAACCUUGAUGCUGGUGAGCCAGCAUUCUUGUUAGCUUCUUAGAGCACAGGUGGCAUUUUUCAGCUUAAAAUGAUGAGACUAAUAUAGGUUCUUUGGCUUCAUUUUUCAGGCAGCAAAAGAGCAAUAUGUUUACCUCCAAGAAAGAAAAUAUAUUGGUUGUGAAAAAAACUCAUUGGACAAUGUUGGAAAGAGAAAAUGCUAUUGCUCUUGUUCUUUUAUUAAAGCUGGUAAAGCAUAGGCUUCCUUGCUGUCCUGUCACCAAAAACGAUGGGUUUAGCUCUAAUUUGAGGAGCUAUACUUAUGCAGAAUGUUCUCAGCUAAUCCAUCCAGCUAUCAGCAAAGGAAUUCAUGAGGCUUCAAUGCAAUUGGAGUUGAACAGGUAAUUUAUUUUCAUCUGCAUGAUAUAUGUGCACUUUUGUUUAACUCUGACAUAUUAAACAAACUUUCUUGGAAAGUAUAACUAAUUGAAAGAGAGAUCAGAAAUCAGGCUUUUAAAAAGGUCUCCUGCAAUGGAGCUACACCACAACUGCUUUCCCAAAAUGGAACCCCAAAAUUUUCAACCUAAGGGAAUCGAGUCUUGGAUGUCUCAAAGGUAGUCUGCUUCCACAGCCUUGCAAAACUUCAUCAGGGAAGCAGAUGAAAAUAAGCACUCCUCACAGUAAGGCAGAUUAUACUGUAGAAGCAGAUGUGUUAGUGAGUGCCAGGGAACUCACACGAGGGAGGAGAGAGCUGCAGGAAAUGUUUCAAUCACUGCCUGCACCUUAUUACACACACAAUAACCCAGCCAAGCACACAAAGCCCUCUGAAAUCAACCUUCACAUGAUCUGUCAUUUAAAAAUUCUUCAUUUGUCAGAUAUGCCUUGAUCCCUGCUCACAGGCCAGUGCAGCUGAAGCACCCUCUGGAGCACAGCUGUGUUGUCCUGUGUUAUUCUGCAGGCACACGUGGAGUACCUGCUCUGUGAGCAGCAGAGAAAGCUGACAGCUGCCCAGGGACCAGCAGCCUGCUGUGCAAACACAGCACAUCCCCUGCACUUUCAGCCCUGUCUCCCCCUUCCUCACCAUAUUUUCCCAUGGAGUUCCAGCAAUACCACAGUCAGUAAAAUCCCAAUAUUUUCUAGCUAUCUAGGAAUUAUUUUAGAUCUCCAGGUGACACUGGAAGCAAUUUGAUGAGUUUCCUCUCACAGCAGCUGGCCAGCAAUUUGCUGCUGAGAGAGAAAAUGCCAGGCAAUGACUCCUCUUUUUAAUCUGCUGUGCAACUUUGAGGAUUGGAGCUUUCUGUCCUCCAUUGAAAAUGUUCCCCCCAGAUCCCAGUCUCCCUCUUUCCUCCUGCAGCAGAACCCACCAUUGUACUCAUUGGGAGCUUUGCCCCUUCCCCACUGCCCUCUGCCCCAUGGGGUUUUGUCUCUGGCCCCAGAAUGGGCAUGCAGAGGAUGUACACAUUUCCACCUCUUCUCAGACAAUGUUAAAUAAUGGUGGCUGGGAUCAUUGUGAAUAACUUCAACCUGCAAGCAGUCCAUGGCUGAGGUGCAGUUACCUGGGCAAGGACCACAAGCACCUUGAGUUUCAACUUAAAAUAUUGUACAAGUUCAUCUGUCACCUCCACUCCUCUACUUCUGUGUGUGUGUGUGUGUGUGUGUGUGUAUGUUUGUGUUUCAGGGCAGAGGAAUGGCAGAGAGAAAAACCCCACAAGGUGUAGAAAGGAGGAGGGGUGGUCAAAUGCAUUACUGAGAUGGAGGGGGAAGCCAGAGGAGCACUAGCUGAUUCACACACAAAUCAGCAGAGUCCACUAUCACCCAGCCAGAUUACUGAAUUAUCCAUCCUGAACCUGGACAGUUUC